GACAGAGGGGGCAAGCGUUGCUCGGAAUCACUGGGCGUAAAGGGCGCGUAGGCGGGAUGGCAAGUCGGUCGUGAAAUCCUUCGGCUCAACCGAAGAACGUCGGCCGAUACUGCCGUUCUUGAGGGAUGCAGAGGAGAUUGGAAUUCCCGGUGUAGCGGUGAAAUGUGUAGAGAUCGGGAGGAACACCGGUGGCGAAGGCGGGUCUCUGGGCAAUUCCUGACGCUGAGGCGCGAAAGCGUGGGGAGCAAACGGG
rnacentral:rRNA from 1 species